AUGGGCAUACCACAUUGAAAACACCGGUUCUCGUCUGAUGACCGAAGUUAAACAAUGUGGGAGGGUACUUGGGAGGGUGACCACCUGGGAACACCAGCUGUAGGUCUU